AUGUACCACGCGUACACUCCGGUUCCUCUGCGCCGCCCACACCGACCUGACGACUGCUCGCGACGUUGUGUUGGCC
rnacentral:sRNA from 1 species